UCGCCACCCUCUCAAUUGUGAAUCCUCCCUCCUUCGUCUCGUGGGUAUUUGAAGUCGUUGCUGCAACAUUGGUUCUUCUCGGCGAACAUUUAGGUUGUUCUUUCGAUGGUGGUUGUGAGGUGGUUGAGCUCGCCUGAUUGACUAUGUAAAGAAGGGUCUGUGAGCUGAAGCAGUGCAUUGAGGGAUUUCCACAACUAUUGGAGCUUAGAAGUUUCUAGCUUAGAGACCUUAUUCAUUUGAGGUAGCAUCUUUAGGAAGAGGAGCUGAAACAGAAUCUGGGUUGAAUAGGGAACUUUCAGCCAGCUGCAAGUGCUAACUUUAGUACAAAAAUCUGCAACCCAUGAGUUUUUGUUAAAGCAUUUCAUUCAUAGUGAAUUUCCUACCAUUCCA